GCCCGGAUGGCGAAACUGGUAGACGCAGCAGACUUAAAAUCUGCCGGAGGCAACUCCAUGCCGGUUCGAUUCCGGCUCCGGGCACCA
rnacentral:tRNA from 1 species